rnacentral:rRNA from 2 species
ACGGGAGGCAGCAGUAGGGAAUCUUCCACAAUGGACGAAAGUCUGAUGGAGCAACGCCGCGUGAGUGAAGAAGGGUUUCGGCUCGUAAAACUCUGUUGUUAAAGAAGAACAUAUCUGAGAGUAACUGUUCAGGUAUUGACGGUAUUUAACCAGAAAGCCACGGCUAACUACGUGCCAGCAGCCGCGGUAAUACGUAGGUGGCAAGCGUUGUCCGGAUUUAUUGGGCGUAAAGCGAGCGCAGGCGGUUUUUUAAGUCUGAUGUGAAAGCCUUCGGCUCAACCGAAGAAGUGCAUCGGAAACUGGGAAACUUGAGUGCAGAAGAGGACAGUGGAACUCCAUGUGUAGCGGUGAAAUGCGUAGAUAUAUGGAAGAACACCAGUGGCGAAGGCGGCUGUCUGGUCUGUAACUGACGCUGAGGCUCGAAAGUAUGGGUAGCAAACAGGAUUAGAUACCCUGGUAGUCCAUACCGUAAACGAUGAAUGCUAAGUGUUGGAGGGUUUCCGCCCUUCAGUGCUGCAGCUAACGCAUUAAGCAUUCCGCCUGGGGAGUACGGCCGCAAGGCUGAAACUCAAAGGAAUUGACGGGGGCCCGCACAAGCGGUGGAGCAUGUGGUUUAAUUCGAAGCUACGCGAAGAACCUUACCAGGUCUUGACAUACUAUGCAAAUCUAAGAGAUUAGACGUUCCCUUCGGGGACAUGGAUACAGGUGGUGCAUGGUUGUCGUCAGCUCGUGUCGUGAGAUGUUGGGUUAAGUCCCGCAACGAGCGCAACCCUUAUUAUCAGUUGCCAGCAUUAAGUUGGGCACUCUGGUGAGACUGCCGGUGACAAACCGGAGGAAGGUGGGGAUGACGUCAAAUCAUCAUGCCCCUUAUGACCUGGGCUACACACGUGCUACAAUGGAUGGUACAACGAGUUGCGAACUCGCGAGAGUAAGCUAAUCUCUUAAAGCCAUUCUCAGUUCGGAUUGUAGGCUGCAACUCGCCUACAUGAAGUCGGAAUCGCUAGUAAUCGCGGAUCAGCAUGCCGCGGUGAAUACGUUCCCGGGCCUUGUACA